rnacentral:rRNA from 1 species
CCAAUAGCGUAUAUUAAAGUUGUUGCAGUUAAAAAGCUCGUAGUUGAAUUUCGGGAUCAAUAUGUCGGUCGUGCCUUCGGUACGUACUGGCAUCAUUGAUUUCUCCCUUCUGACGAACCACGAUGUCAUUAAUUUGGUGUCAUGGGGAGUCAGGACUGUUACUUUGAAAAAAUUAGAGUGUUUAAAGCAGGCUCACGCUUGAAUACAUUAGCAUGGAAUAAUGAAAUAGGACGUUUGACCCUAUUUUGUUGGUUUCUAGGAUCAACGUAAUGAUUAAUAGGGAUAGUUGGGGGCAUUAGUAUUCAAUUGUCAGAGGUGAAAUUCUUGGAUUUAUUGAAGACUAACUACUGCGAAAGCAUUUGCCAAGGAUGUUUUCAUUAAUCAAGAACGAAAGUUAGGGGAUCGAAGACGAUCAGAUACCGUCGUAGUCUUAACCAUAAACUAUGCCGACUAGGGAUCGGAUGAUGUUAAUUUUUUAAUGACUCAUUCGGCGCCUUGCG